rnacentral:rRNA from 1 species
GGGUUGUGAGGUUAAGCGACUAAGCGUACACGGUGGAUGCCCUGGCAGUCAGAGGCGAUGAAGGACGUGCUAAUCUGCGAUAAGCGUCGGUGAGGUGAUAUGAACCGUUAUAACCGGCGAUUUCCGAAUGGGGAAACCCAGUGUGUUUCGACACACUAUCAUUAACUGAAUCCAUAGGUUAAUGAGGCGAACCGGGGGAACUGAAACAUCUAAGUACCCCGAGGAAAAGAAAUCAACCGAGAUUCCCCCAGUAGCGGCGAGCGAACGGGGAGGAGCCCAGAGCCUGAAUCAGUGUGUGUGUUAGUGGAAGCGUCUGGAAAGGCGCGCGAUACAGGGUGACAGCCCCGUACACAAAAAUGCACAUAUUGUGAGCUCGAUGAGUAGGGUGGGACACGUGGUAUCCUGUCUGAAUAUGGGGGGACCAUCCUCCAAGGCUAAAUACUCCUGACUGACCGAUAGUGAACCAGUACCGUGAGGGAAAGGCGAAAAGAACCCCGGCGAGGGGAGUGAAAAAGAACCUGAAACCGUGUACGUACAAGCAGUGGGAGCCUCUUAAUGGGGUGACUGCGUACCUUUUGUAUAAUGGGUCAGCGACUUAUAUUCUGUAGCAAGGUUAACCGAAUAGGGGAGCCGAAGGGAAACCGAGUCUUAACUGGGCGUUAAGUUGCAGGGUAUAGACCCGAAACCCGGUGAUCUAGCCAUGGGCAGGUUGAAGGUUGGGUAACACUAACUGGAGGACCGAACCGACUAAUGUUGAAAAAUUAGCGGAUGACUUGUGGCUGGGGGUGAAAGGCCAAUCAAACCGGGAGAUAGCUGGUUCUCCCCGAAAGCUAUUUAGGUAGCGCCUCGUGAAUUCAUCUCCGGGGGUAGAGCACUGUUUCGGCAAGGGGGUCAUCCCGACUUACCAACCCGAUGCAAACUGCGAAUACCGGAGAAUGUUAUCACGGGAGACACACGGCGGGUGCUAACGUCCGUCGUGAAGAGGGAAACAACCCAGACCGCCAGCUAAGGUCCCAAAGUCAUGGUUAAGUGGGAAACGAUGUGGGAAGGCCCAGACAGCCAGGAUGUUGGCUUAGAAGCAGCCAUCAUUUAAAGAAAGCGUAAUAGCUCACUGGUCGAGUCGGCCUGCGCGGAAGAUGUAACGGGGCUAAACCAUGCACCGAAGCUGCGGCAGCGACACUAUGUGUUGUUGGGUAGGGGAGCGUUCUGUAAGCCUGUGAAGGUGGCCUGUGAGGGUUGCUGGAGGUAUCAGAAGUGCGAAUGCUGACAUAAGUAACGAUAAAGCGGGUGAAAAGCCCGCUCGCCGGAAGACCAAGGGUUCCUGUCCAACGUUAAUCGGGGCAGGGUGAGUCGACCCCUAAGGCGAGGCCGAAAGGCGUAGUCGAUGGGAAACAGGUUAAUAUUCCUGUACUUGGUGUUACUGCGAAGGGGGGACGGAGAAGGCUAUGUUGGCCGGGCGACGGUUGUCCCGGUUUAAGCGUGUAGGCUGGUUUUCCAGGCAAAUCCGGAAAAUCAAGGCUGAGGCGUGAUGACGAGGCACUACGGUGCUGAAGCGACAAAUGCCCUGCUUCCAGGAAAAGCCUCUAAGCAUCAGGUAACAUCAAAUCGUACCCCAAACCGACACAGGUGGUCAGGUAGAGAAUACCAAGGCGCUUGAGAGAACUCGGGUGAAGGAACUAGGCAAAAUGGUGCCGUAACUUCGGGAGAAGGCACGCUGAUAUGUAGGUGAAGCGACUUGCUCGUGGAGCUGAAAUCAGUCGAAGAUACCAGCUGGCUGCAACUGUUUAUUAAAAACACAGCACUGUGCAAACACGAAAGUGGACGUAUACGGUGUGACGCCUGCCCGGUGCCGGAAGGUUAAUUGAUGGGGUUAGCGGUAACGCGAAGCUCUUGAUCGAAGCCCCGGUAAACGGCGGCCGUAACUAUAACGGUCCUAAGGUAGCGAAAUUCCUUGUCGGGUAAGUUCCGACCUGCACGAAUGGCGUAAUGAUGGCCAGGCUGUCUCCACCCGAGACUCAGUGAAAUUGAACUCGCUGUGAAGAUGCAGUGUACCCGCGGCAAGACGGAAAGACCCCGUGAACCUUUACUAUAGCUUGACACUGAACAUUGAGCCUUGAUGUGUAGGAUAGGUGGGAGGCUUUGAAGUGUGGACGCCAGUCUGCAUGGAGCCGACCUUGAAAUACCACCCUUUAAUGUUUGAUGUUCUAACGUGGGCCCCUUACCGGGGUUGCGGACAGUGUCUGGUGGGUAGUUUGACUGGGGCGGUCUCCUCCUAAAGAGUAACGGAGGAGCACGAAGGUUGGCUAAUCCUGGUCGGACAUCAGGAGGUUAGUGCAAUGGCAUAAGCCAGCUUGACUGCGAGCGUGACGGCGCGAGCAGGUGCGAAAGCAGGUCAUAGUGAUCCGGUGGUUCUGAAUGGAAGGGCCAUCGCUCAACGGAUAAAAGGUACUCCGGGGAUAACAGGCUGAUACCGCCCAAGAGUUCAUAUCGACGGCGGUGUUUGGCACCUCGAUGUCGGCUCAUCACAUCCUGGGGCUGAAGUAGGUCCCAAGGGUAUGGCUGUUCGCCAUUUAAAGUGGUACGCGAGCUGGGUUUAGAACGUCGUGAGACAGUUCGGUCCCUAUCUGCCGUGGGCGCUGGAGAACUGAGGGGGGCUGCUCCUAGUACGAGAGGACCGGAGUGGACGCAUCACUGGUGUUCGGGUUGUCAUGCCAAUGGCACUGCCCGGUAGCUAAAUGCGGAAGAGAUAAGUGCUGAAAGCAUCUAAGCACGAAACUUGCCCCGAGAUGAGUUCUCCCUGACUCCUUGAGAGUCCUGAAGGAACGUUGAAGACGACGACGUUGAUAGGCCGGGUGUGUAAGCGCAGCGAUGCGUUGAGCUAACCGGUACUAAUGAACCGUGAGGCUUAACCUUACAACGCCGAAG